GCUGUCCCUAUUUUUUUUCUAGCGAAACCACAGCCAAGGGAACGGGCUUGGAAAAAUCAGCGGGGAAAGAAGACCCUGUUGAGCUUGACUCCAGUCUGGCAUUGUUGGGAGACAUGCCGGGGUGUAGCAUAAGUGGGAGACGGGGAUCACGCAUGGUCGGUUGAAAGGCCUUCCUUGCGCCUCGUCGACUUUGAAAUACCACUACUCGCAUCGUUUCCUUACUUACUCGGUGAUGCGGAACGCGUGCUGUCAGGACCGUGGUCAUGGGUGUUGCUUUCGGGAAGCUUCGGCGGAACUUUGGCUCAUCCUGACCCAUUGCGUCCGGCAGUUACGAUGGAUUCACGGUCGAGUUAAGCGCGAUCAUUUGGUGUCCGUUAUGUGCGUGCGGUCAACGGCGUGCCUUCGGGUACGACGCCCGUGCGUACUGGGCACCGUCGCGUGAUCCGAUUCGAGGACACCGCCAGGUGGGGAGUUUGGCUGGGGCGGUACAUCUGUCAAAGAAUAACGCAGGUGUCCUAAGGCCAGCUCAGCGAGGACGGAAACCUCGCGUAGAGCAAAAGGGCAAAAGCUGGCUUGAUCCCGGACGCCCAGUAAGCGUAGGGACUGCGAAAGCAUCGGCCUCUCGAUCCUCUCGAGCGCUGAAGAGUUUUCAGCGAGAGGUGUCAGAAAAGUUACCACAGGGAUAACUGGCUUGUGGCCGCCAAGCGNU
rnacentral:rRNA from 1 species